rnacentral:lncRNA from 1 species
GAAAAUAUUUAAAAAGUCAACCUGCCAUCUCUCCUGCCCUGCUGGUCCAAGUUCCCACUCUAGUUCCAGUACUGGCAGGCUUCACCACUAUAUCCCAGCAGGGUCCUGCUUGGCAUGUUCUCCCAGGUAUCUUCUGAGAGGUUGUUCUCUCUGCACUUCUCACUCAAGUCUGAAGAUGCUUGCAGUCACCUGCAGUACUUCUAAAUCAGAGUUUUGAGAUGGAAGAGGUCACAGCUCCAAUGAUCUCAGCCUAAGAAGAUGAGGAAGAAGACCAGCACAAGUGCUGCUACCCAAUGACCUCAUGGGAAAUCGUGGGGAGAGAUAGCAUUCAAGAAGGAACAUGGGGAAGAGUAUCCAGAGUACAGAGUGGAAGCCUUUGCCCUCUUCUUUCAGCUCUCCAAGGAAUGUCUUCCUGCCCUGUGUCCUGGACAACUGCCUGUCUUUAGAAUUAACGAAUGCUCUGACUUGCAGAGUCUCUCUCAGAUCAGCUUUUGCUGGUAUCAGGAUUUCUCUGGAGGACUCAACAAAGUCCUCUCCAUGCCUGAGAUUCCUACAAUGAUUGAAAUUCCAUUGUUUCUUCCCAGUGGCACCCAGGCCACUGUACGCUGUGGCAUUUGGGCAGGUUCUUGCCUCGAGUUCCUGCUCUGCCUUCAUUUCACUAUACCUAGAAGCUGAAAUAAACUAUUUCCUCCG